CAUGCAAGUCGAACGAUGAAGCCCAGCUUGCUGGGUGGAUUAGUGGCGAACGGGUGAGUAACACGUGAGUAACCUGCCCUUGACUCUGGGAUAAGCCUGGGAAACUGGGUCUAAUACCGGAUAGGAACGUCCACCGCAUGGUGGGUGUUGGAAAGAAUUUCGGUCAUGGAUGGACUCGCGGCCUAUCAGCUUGUUGGUGAGGUAAUGGCUCACCAAGGCGACGACGGGUAGCCGGCCUGAGAGGGUGACCGGCCACACUGGGACUGAGACACGGCCCAGACUCCUACGGGAGGCAGCAGUGGGGAAUAUUGCACAAUGGGCGAAAGCCUGAUGCAGCGACGCCGCGUGAGGGAUGACGGCCUUCGGGUUGUAAACCUCUUUCAGUAGGGAAGAAGCGAAAGUGACGGUACCUGCAGAAGAAGCACCGGCUAACUACGUGCCAGCAGCCGCGGUAAUACGUAGGGUGCGAGCGUUAUCCGGAAUUAUUGGGCGUAAAGAGCUCGUAGGCGGUUUGUCGCGUCUGUCGUGAAAGUCCGGNGCUUAACCCCGGAUCUGCGGUGGGUACGGGCAGACUAAAGUGCAGUAGGGGAGACUGGAAUUCCUGGUGUAACCGGUGGAAUGCACAG
rnacentral:rRNA from 1 species